rnacentral:piRNA from 1 species
UUCCUGUGGUGGCUAUAGUGGUGUCUAAAU